rnacentral:rRNA from 1 species
AGAGUUUGAUCAUGGCUCAGAACGAACGCUGGCGGCAGGCUUAACACAUGCAAGUCGAGCGCCCAGCAAUGGGAGCGGCGGACGGGUGAGUAACACGUGGGAACAUGCCUUUCGGUACGGAACAACGCAGGGAAACUUGCGCUAAUACCGUAUGCGCCGGAAACGGGAAAGAUUUAUCGCCGAAAGAUUGGCCCGCGUCUGAUUAGCUUGUUGGUGAGGUAACGGCUCACCAAGGCUUCGAUCAGUAGCUGGUUUGAGAGAGCGACCAGCCACACUGGGACUGAGACACGGCCCAGACUCCUACGGGAGGCAGCAGUGGGGAAUCUUGGACAAUGGGCGAAAGCCUGAUCCAGCCAUGCCGCGUGAGUGAUGAAGGCCCUAGGGUUGUAAAACUCUUUCGGCGGGGACGAUAAUGACGGUACCCGCAGAAGAAGCUCCGGCUAACUUCGUGCCAGCAGCCGCGGUAAUACGAAGGGGGCUAGCGUUGUUCGGAAUUACUGGGCGUAAAGCGUGCGCAGGCGGCUCAUCAAGUCAGAGGUGAAAGCCCAGGGCUCAACCCUGGAACGGCCUUUGAAACUGAUGGGCUGGAGUGCGGGAGAGGUGAGUGGAAUUCCCAGUGUAGAGGUGAAAUUCGUAGAUAUUGGGAAGAACACCAGUGGCGAAGGCGGCUCACUGGCCCGUUUCUGACGCUCAUGCACGACAGCGUGGGGAUCAAACAGGAUUAGAUACCCUAGUAGUCC